GUAAAAUCUUAUAUCCCUCCGCUUCUUCUUCCCCAAAUUCCACCUGCCUCAGAGUCUCUCUCAGUUAUUCCUUCUCUCUUUGGUCAGUUGUCGACACAACACACCAAAAACAAACAAAUUAGAAACGAACUUAUCCACUCACUGUUUCUGAUUGAUUUUUCUCUCUCGUUCCUAUCAGUCAAUCAAUCCCUCGUUCGUUCCCUGAGCUUCUUCAUAGAGAAGAGAUUAUGGGACGUUCGCCUUGUUGCGAGAAAGCCCACACAAACAAAGGCGCUUGGACCAAAGAGGAAGACCAACACCUUAUCGAUUAUAUUCGCCUCCAUGGCGAAGGCUCUUGGCGUUCUCUCCCAAAAGCCGCUGGGUUGCUCAGAUGCGGAAAGAGUUGCAGAUUGAGAUGGAUGAACUACCUUCGUCCUGAUCUCAAACGUGGAAAUUUCACCCAAGAAGAAGACGACCUCAUCAUCAAGCUUCAUAGUCUACUAGGAAACAAAUGGUCUCUGAUUGCGGCGCGAUUACCAGGUAGAACCGACAAUGAGAUUAAGAAUUAUUGGAAUACUCAUAUAAAGCGCAAGCUUAUUAGCCGCGGGAUCAAUCCCCAAACGCACCGUCCUCUCAACGAAACCACCGCCUCUGUAAAAUCUACCGCCGAGUGGGACUUCGAGAACUCACCGGCGGCCGAAAACGACUUCCUCGGGAAGAAUCAGAAGCAGAAGCGGGAGAGUGAUAGUUUCAAUUGCAUCGAUUUCGGCAGUAUGAAGGCGGUUGAGGAGUUGAACAACACUAGUAGCGGCAUCACUACAGAGGAAGAAGAACCGCCAUUGCUAGAGCGAGAUUCUUCGUUUCAUUGUGCUGAAAUUGAGCCCAAUCUGGAGCUCUCAAUUGGUCUCCUGCCUUUUCACUCCGGAUCGGCUCGUACGAAUAUCGGGUUGGUGCGGUCGCCGGCGACGGUGGCUCAAACGGCGGCGUGUCGGAGUCGGCAAUUCGAUUUUCAGAGGUGGGGAAGUGUAUAGAUACAGGGAACCGCCAUAACGCAAAAAGUUUCAGAAAUAGAUUUCACACACUGUUGUCCAUAGGAAAAAAACAGAAAGUGCUUGUUUUCCCCCUUAGUUUGCAGUAUAAGUAUAUUGUUUCA